rnacentral:rRNA from 1 species
GGACCCGCACAAGCGGUGGAGUAUGUGGUUUAAUUCGAUGCAACACGAAGAACCUUACCAGGGUUUGAAAUCAUUUCAAAACUCCUUGAAAGAGGAGCCUCCUUCGGGAUGAAAUGACAGGUGGUGCAUGGCUGUCGUCAGCUCGUGUUGUGAAAUGUCGAGUUAAGUCUCGUAACGAGCGCAACCCAUGUCUCUUGUUGCUCACUGAGUGCUUAAGAGAGACUGCCGACCAACAUCGGAGGAAGGUGUGGAUGAUGUCAAGUCAGCAUGCCCCUUACAUCCUGGGCUACACACGUGCUACAAUGGUAGUGACAAUGGGU